GACGAACGCUGGCGGCGUGCCUAACACAUGCAAGUCGAACGGAGAUUUCAGCAAUGAAAUCUAGUGGCGAACGGGUGAGUAACGCGUAGACAACCUGCCUUUUAGAUGGGGACAACACUGGGAAACUAGUGCUAAUACCGAAUGUUGUAUUUUGGUCGCAUGGCCGAGAUACUAAAGAUGGCCUCUAUUUAUAAGCUAUCACUAAAAGAUGGGUCUGCGUCUGAUUAGCUAGUUGGUGAGGUAAUGGCUCACCAAGGCGACGAUCAGUAGCCGGUCUGAGAGGAUGAACGGCCACACUGGGACUGAGACACGGCCCAGACUCCUACGAGAGGCAGCAGUGGGGAAUCUUCCGCAAUGGACGAAAGUCUGACGGAGCAACGCCGCGUGAGUGAAGAAGGUUUUCGGAUCGUAAAACUCUGUUUUCAGGGACGAAUGUGCAGCUUGUGAAUAAUUAGUUGUAAUGACGGUACCUGAGUAGAAAGCCACGGCUAACUACGUGCCAGCCGCCGCUGUAAGAC
rnacentral:rRNA from 1 species